GCAUAUCAAUAAGCGGAGGAAAAGAAAAUAACAAUGAUUCCCUUAGUAACGGCGAGUGAAGGGGGAAAAGCUCAAAUUUUAAAUCUGCUAGGUUUUACUUAUCAGAAUUGUAAUUUGAAGAAGCGUUUUCCGCGUCUCGGUUGGCCUAAAUCCUUUGGGAUAAGGUAUCAUGGAGGGUGAGAAUCCCGUUCGGUUGACCUUAUGACGCUCUACGAUACGCUCUCUAAGAGUCGAGUUGUUUGGGAUUGCAGCUCAAAAUGGGAGGUAAAUUUCUCCUAAGGCUAAAUAUCGGCGAGAGACCGAUAGCGAACAAGUACCGUGAGGGAAAGAUGAAAAGAACUUUGAAAAGAGAGUAAAAUAGUACGUGAAAUUGUUGAAAGGGAAACGAUUGAAGUCAGUCGUACCGACGAGAAAUCAACUUAUCGUGUGCGAACU
rnacentral:rRNA from 1 species